AUAUCCUGUAAGAAUUUUCUCAUCAGGUUAAAAAAUAUCUUUUCUUAACAGUUUAAUUUCUGCUACGACCUGCAUCACUGGACUAGAAUAUUAAACUGAUUUUUGGCUCAUGACGGAGUGCUAAGAGAAUGGUCUACCUCUGUCACAGGAUGCGUUUCUCAAUUUCGAAAUCUCUUAUAGUAAACAAC